UGGAGGAGGUUAAAGUGGCCAUUGAUAAAUGACAUCUAAAGAAGGCACCAGAUCCUGAUGGUAUUACCGCAGAAUUUUAUAAGAAGUUCAGAAAGCACUUAGCUCCAAUCCUCAUGGACAUGUACAAAAAUUGUCUAGAAAAUCACCUGAUGCCUUCGUUCAUGAGGGUGUCCUCAUUAAUUCUGCUGACUAAAGGAGGGUAGACUCCUCUCCCAUUUCAAACUCCUUAUACAUGCCAGAGAAGUGAAGGAAGCAUCAGUAUUUUCCAUAUGCUUUGGUUGAAUGGCCUUACGUCAUUGAUGGUCUACCACCAUGAAGAGUCACUUAAGGUGGAGUGAUUUUCCUCAAAUUUCCUAAAGGCACACUAAGAUAACCAAGCAAGAUAACUAUAGAGCAUUCCCCUUUAAAGGUCUCUGCACAAUGACGGGAGACCCAACUGGCUUUGUGGGCAAAGGGCUAGUGACCCAAGGUCUAUGGCAGAGUAUCUCCAUCUAUCAUCUUCUUCUGGUCAC